rnacentral:rRNA from 1 species
ACUCAAAUGAAUAGACGGGCACCCGCACAAGCGGUGGAGCAUGCUGUUUAAUUCGAAAAUACGCGAAAAACCUUACCUAGAUUUGACAUCCCGGGCAAAGCUAUAGAAAUAUAGUGGAGGCUAUCCCGGUGACAGAUGGUGCAUGGUUGUCGUCAGCUCGUGUCGUGAGAUGUUUGGUUAAGUCCAACAACGAGCGCAACCCUCGUCGUUAGUUGCUAACAUUAAGUUGAGAACCCUAACGAUACUGCCGGUGCAAGCCGGAGGAAGGUGGGGAUGACGUCAAAUCAUCAUGCCUCUUACAUCUAGGGCUACAGGCGUGCUACAAUGGCCAAUACAACGGGUCGCAACACAGUGAUGUGAAGCUAAUCCCUGAAAGUUGGUCUCAGUUCGGAUUGGAGUCUGCAACUCGACUCCAUGAAGUUGGAAUCGCUAGUAAUCCCGAAUCAGAAUGUCGGGGUGAAUACGUUCUCGGGUGUUGCACACACCGCCCGU